AGACGGUACUAGAAGGUAACACCCCGUACUGAGACGGUACUAGAAGGUAACACCCCGUACUGAGACGGUAACACCCCGUACUGAGACGGUACUAGAAGGUAACACCCCGUACUGAGACGGUACUAGAAGGUAACACCCCGUACUGAGAAGGUAACACCCCGUACUGAGACGGUACUAGAAGGUAACACCCCGUACUGAGACGGUACUAGAAGGUAACACCCCGUACUGAGACGGUACUAGAAGGUAACACCCCGUACUGAGACGGUACUAGAAGGUAACACCCCGUACUGAGACGGUACUAGAAGGUAACACCCCGUACUGAGACGGUACUAGAAGGUAACACCCCGUACUGAGACGGUACUAGAAGGUAACACCCCGUACUGAGACGGUACUAGAAGGUAACACCCCGUACUGAGACGGUACUAGAAGGUAACACCCCGUACUGAGACGGUACUAGAAGGUAACACCCCGUACUGAGACGGUAACACCCCGUACUGAGACGGUACUAGAAGGUAACACCCCGUACUGAGACGGUACUAGAAGGUAACACCCCGUACUGAG